rnacentral:lncRNA from 1 species
UAGACUGGGUGCUGCCUUUUUAUUUAGCGGGGGAUCAAAACUCCUCUGAUGAAACAAUAGAGGUUGGGGAAUCCAGCUUUUUGCUUCUUAUCGCCCUGGCAUCUAAGCAGUUAGUACUACUAACUGGGGCUGGUGGAAAUGGGAGUGGUUGUGUGCCUUCACCACACAAAUAAUACAACACUGCACUGCAUUCUCUGCCCAGAAAGGGCCUAUUGUCCUGAACAGCCAGAGUCUCCUCUGCUGACGCCUCUCCCUGACUGUGCAAGGCCAGGCCCAGGAACUGGACGGCAUCAUGCCUUGCAGCAGAUGAAAGACAUGAAGGGGCCCCAAGCUUAGAAAAAAGAUAAACCUCCAAUCAACCUUGACAUUUUCAUCAG